rnacentral:rRNA from 1 species
AGCGAACGCUGGCGGCAGGCCUAACACAUGCAAGUCGAACGAACCUUUCGGGGUUAGUGGCGGACGGGUGAGUAACACGUGGGAACGUGCCUUUAGGUUCGGAAUAACUCAGGGAAACUUGUGCUAAUACCGAAUGUGCCCUUCGGGGGAAAGAUUUAUCGCCUUUAGAGCGGCCCGCGUCUGUUUAGCUAGUUGGUUGAGGUAAUGGCUCACCAAGGCGACGAUCAGUAGCUGGUCUGAGAGGAUGAUCAGCAACAUUGGGACUGAGACACGGCCCAAACUCCUACGGGAGGCAGCAGUGGGGAAUCUAGCGCAAUGGGCGAAAGCCUGACGCCGCCAUGCCGCGUGAAUGAUGAAGGUCGUAGGAAUGUAAAAUUCUUUCACCGGGGACGAUAAUGACGGUACCCGGAGAAGAAGCCCCGGCUAACUUCGUG